GUCACGGCUAACUACGUGCCAGCAGCCGCGGUAAUACGUAGGUGGCAAGCGUUAUCCGGAUUUAUUGGGCGUAAAGAGAGUGCAGGCGGUUUCUAAGUCUGAUGUGAAAGCCUUCGGCUUAACCGGAGAAGUACAUCGGAAACUGGAUAACUUGAGUGCAGAAGAGGGUAGUGGAACUCCAUGUGUAGCGGUGGAAUGCGUAGAUAUAUGGAAGGAACACCAGUGGCGAAGGCGGCUACCUGGUCUGCAACUGACGCUGAGACUCGAAAGCAUGGGUACGCGAACAGGAUUAGACUACCCUGGUAG
rnacentral:rRNA from 1 species